CAACCAUUUGAGUCUGGGAUUUCUGAAUGGGGAAACCCACUUACAUAAGUAAGUAUCAUUAACUGAAUACAUAGGUUAAUGAGGCGAACCGGGGGAACUGAAACAUCUAAGUACCCCGAGGAAAAGAAAUCAACCGAGAUUCCGAAAGUAGCGGCGAGCGAAAUUGGACUAGCCCUUAAGCUUUACACGCGUUAGACGAACGGUCUGGAAAGUCCGACGAUACAGGGUGAUAGUCCCGUAGUUGACGACGUGUGUUCAGUGAAAUCGAGUAGGGCGGGACACGUGAUAUCCUGUCUGAAUAUGGGGGGACCAUCCUCCAAGGCUAAAUACUACUGACUGACCGAUAGUGAACCAGUACCGUGAGGGAAAGGCGAAAAGAACCCCUGUGAGGGGAGUGAAAUAGAACCUGAAACCGUGUACGUACAAGCAGUAGGAGCA
rnacentral:rRNA from 1 species